rnacentral:rRNA from 1 species
UACGGGGGGGGCAAGCGUUGUUCGGAAUUACUGGGCGUAAAGGGCUCGUAGGUGGCCAACUAAGUCGGACGUGAAAUCCCUCAGCUUAACUGGGGAACUGCGUCCGAUACUGGAUGGCUUGAGUUUGGGAGAGGCAGGCGGAAUUCCGGGUGUAGCGGUGGAAUGCGUAGAGAUCCGGAAGAACACCGGUGGCGAAGGCGGCCUGCUGGGCAGUUGCUGACACUGAGGCGCGACAGCGUGGGGAGCAAACAGG